AUAAAUUUCAAGUGGUAAUAGGGCAAUUAAUCUUCUUUCAUGUACUUUGCAUAAGUAAAAUUAGAAAAUCAUUCCUAUAGAUAACUAUACUUAUGUAUAACUAUAAUUAUCGUUGUUUACAGUUUACGAGAUGCGAAAUUAUAUGUGCUAAACUUUUGCCUAUAAUGAAGCAACGAUUUCACAGAUUUUUCAAUGAAAAGUCAAUCAAAAGACUUUAAAGAAAUUUAUGAUCUACAAAUGAGACAUUGGCAAUAAUUAAACAAUAGUGGUUAAAGUGGAAAAAAAUAAACGAUUCCGAAAAAGAAGGAGGAAAAGAGUAUAAAAGAAAAGGAGAGAAAAAUGUGCAAAGAGACAGAAAUAUCAUGUCAGCAUAAGAAAGCUAUCGUCGAUCUUACUGAAACAUUGCUUUCUAGUACUUCCUAUAUAGCAUUCAAAUGGUAUACUGUAUAUAAUACGAGUGGUUUUAUAUUGGAUACCUAAGCUUGCAUUUCAUGAUUUUUUUCGUUUAUAUACACGUGCGUGUGGAGAUUCUCCUCUGAAAUUGGAGCGACGGUGUCGCGUAAUACGCGGAGCAAUAUCGCAAAAAAAAAAUUUCCUCAAGUUACUGACAUAUAACAAAAAUCAUUUGCAAAUGAAAAUAAAAUAUAUACAUAUAUAUAGCUUUUAAUUAUACACACAACUAUCAAAUAAUUUCAUAUACUAAAAUACAAAGCUUACUCGGAGGGUAGGAAGCAAAAUUAAUCAACUAUUUCCAUAUAUUAAAAUGAAAAAUUUUCUUUUGUCACAAUAAAAAUAAAGCGGGGUCUGUAUUUAUUACACGGACGGAAAAUUUUGAU